CACAAAUCAAUUUCAGUGUAUCAUUGCUUUUUAUACGAAAUGACAAAGUUUUCUUGCUCCCUAUUCUUUAUUGGUUUCCUCCUUUUCUCAGCUGCAUGCAUGUUGUCGAUCAAUGCAAUACAAUGUGAAGAGAAGUUGUACGAAGGAUGCGUACCUAAAGACUGUAGCGAGAGAUGUUUACAAAAGUUUCCCAAAUCAACAUCUGAAUGUGUUCCAAUUGGACAAAUCCCAUUUAACUAUAUUUGCUAUUGUUUCCAUGAUUGCUAGAAGAUGAUUAAUUCUCGUUUUUAUCACGGUCUCUAUUAAAUAAAACGGUUGAAUGUCUCUAUGAAUUCAACCAAUCCCCUGUAACUA